rnacentral:rRNA from 1 species
UACGAAGGGGGCUAGCGUUGUUCGGAAUUACUGGGCGUAAAGGGCGCGUAGGCGGCUCGGCAAGUUGGAUGUGAAAGCCCAGGGCUCAACCCUGGAAUUGCAUUCAAGACUGCCUUGCUUGAAUUCGGUAGAGGUUGGUGGAAUUCCCAGUGUAGAGGUGAAAUUCGUAGAGAUUGGGAAGAACACCAACGGCGAAAGCACUCUGCUGGGCCGGCACUGACACUGAGAGACGAAAGCUAGGGGAGCGAAUGGG